UCAUUAAAUUUUCCAAAAAAAAAAAACAUUUUUAUAAAAAAUAUUUAAAGGUGUCACACUGUCACUGACCAACACAGUAGAAGAAUGAGUAAUGGUCAUCGAGUAUCAAGCAAAAAAUAAGCCAAAAAAUCAGUGAUAUUUGAACAAGUGGAAGUGUGAAAGAGUCAGAAACUCAGUGUUAAUGCUUAGAGUGUAGUAGUUCUUGAUUACUACCUAUAAAUAAUAGUGAGAGAAGAGCCAAAAAAAAUCAUACUCAGUUGUUUUGUUUACAUUUUAAGGUUAAUGAUGGAAUGUGCAAGUGUUGACAAGCUUUCUGCUUGAAGCACUUGCAUUCUGUUUCUCUUAUUCUUCUGUUUUUGACAGUAACAAGACAAAGUAUGGAAAUUUCUGAGACUACGAGGAUUCUUUUCGAGAAAAUUCAAAGAUAUGAGCCGGAGUAUGCUCUAAGGAUCAUUAGCAAUCUCCUUAGACAACAUGGAGAACAAGAGAUUGCUUACUUAGCUUCAUUGCCAGAUCAUGUGAUCCAUGAACUUUCUGUUAGAGCAAGGAUUGGACUUGAAAUAUUGGCUGCACGAUCGGCAAUAUCGGCGGGAAAUCCUUCACCUGCAAGUUUCCAGGUUCAAUCUCCCUUUUACAAUAUGCAUGAUGGAAAUACUAGUUCAGAUUUUACUUCGGUAGGUUAUACGAAUUCCAUCACCGAUUUGUUCGGUUCGGAGAAUCAUCGAUAUGUAGAUAGUGUAAUAAAGUCUACAACAGCUAACUUUAAUCUCUAUAAUAAUAAUAAUUACUACUUAGGUUAUGUUUCAAGAGUUUCCGGUUUGAAUAGAAAAAACGGUAAAUUUCCAUUCAAAACAUGUUACUAUUUCAGCAAAGGAUUUUGUAGACAUGGAAAUAGUUGUAGGUUCUAUCAUAAUGGACAAGCUGUUUCUGAGCUCUACGGAAACGACAUUGCUGCCAACGACGAUGAUCAAGUGAUUUCGCUCGGAUCACUGGCGAAACUAGAGUCGGAAAUCGUUGAACUUUUGAAACAAAGAGGAAGUCCUAUUUCAAUUGCUUCACUUCCAAUGGCAUACUAUGAUAAGUACAAAAAGGCCUUACAGGCAGAAGGUUACCAAGCUGAGAGCCAGCGACAUGGUAAGUCGGGCUGCAAUUUGACGAGGCUGCUGAUUCGAUUGGGAAACAGCAUUCGGCUAAUCGACCGGCCUCAUGGGCAGCAUUCGGUGGUUUUGGCCGAAGAUGCGGCAAAAUUUAUGGGAAGGGCAGACUGUCAACAUAUUAGUGCAUCACAACAACUUUACUUGACAUUUCCAGCUGACAGCACUUUCUCUGAAGAUGAUGUAUCAAACUAUUUCAGAACUUUUGGGUGCGUUAUAGACGUAAGGAUUCCGUGUCAGUCAGAAAGGAUGUUUGGGUUUGUGACAUUUGUUUAUCCAGAAACUGUGAAAACAAUUCUGGAGGAGGGAAAUCCUCACUACGUUCGUGGAUCGCGAGUUCUUGUGAAACCUUACAAGGAGAGGGCAAAACUUGUUGACAGGAAGUAUCCACAUCGAUUCGAGCACCAUGUUCGUUAUUCACCGGAAUAUGUAGACUUCGACGCUGAAGUCACUUCAAGUCCUAUAGGUUGUGGAAAUACUCGGUAUCAGACAAGGCUUCAACUUGACGAGCAAAACCGAAUCUUUGAAUUGCAGAGAAGGCGUCUUGCAAUGUUGCAAGUUGCCCAAAGAUCUUUGUCUAGUCCACCGCAUUUAGGCCUCGACACGAAUGGACCAAGAGUUUCAGACGAUAACCUCAAUGUCCAGCUCCAGCCCACCGAAUCUUUCAGUUAUGCACGAAAUGUCAUAGCCGAUAACUCUAACGAGGACAGGUUUGAAUCAACUGUGAAUAGACUUUCUUGAUUCACAAUCAUCCAGACUCCGUCUCGUGGGAGCUUCAUGCAUUGGACCACAGUGGGAAGGAGUGCACCAACCAGAAACCGCGUUUGCGUUUCGCAUAGAUACAGGAAUUUCAGCAAUCAUGUAGUUUUAGAGUCACAAGCAGGAGACAUAUAGAGUUACAAUAACUCAGAUUAGUCAGAGAAGGUUCUUUUUUCGUAACUCAGUUUAAACAAAGAAGGUGUUCUUACAUGUUAUUGAUAGAAUAGAAUAUUAUGACAAAUUAUAACAAAAUAUUCUAUUCUAUCAAUCAGUUAUAGUUUUUAGUUAGCUAUAGAAGGAAUAGUUAUUAGUUGGUGACGUCUUUUAUAAUAAAAUUCAUCACUGGAUGAAAGGAACUAUGCGAUAUUUUAGGAUAUUUUAGGCGAUUCAGAAUAAAGAAGGAGAAUAUCUUAGCUAGGAAAGCCUUAUUGUCAUAUGAAAAGGCAAAACUGUUUUCUAUGUAAGGGUUUACUUGAUGUUUAGUUAAUUUAAUAUAUGCAGCAUUUGAUGUC